CCUUGUUAGUUUCGAAGUACAAUCCGACUUUUUUGCAACCACAUUUAGCACUGCAUCCCUUUUUGCAGUUGCAAAAAAUAGUGUUCAGCAGUUUUUCCGGCGCAGGUGGAAUUAAAGUUUGAACUGGCUCUAAUAUAUUGUUGACCAACUUCCAACCCCAGUCUGUAGGGUCUAGCUGAUAACCAAGCCACACUUGAACUUGGUAAUAUACUCGAAGAAGAUGUUGGUGAGCAGCAACUGAGGUUGGAGGAAG